CUUUCAACCCACCCCUAGCCGGGAUGGUCGUUGAAAC
rfam:Nostoc sp. NIES-3756 DNA, complete genome.